rnacentral:rRNA from 1 species
GACGAACGCUGGCGGCGUGCUUAACACAUGCAAGUCGAACGGAAAGGCCCUGCUUUUGUGGGGUGCUCGAGUGGCGAACGGGUGAGUAACACGUGAGUAACCUGCCCUUGACUUUGGGAUAACUUCAGGAAACUGGGGCUAAUACCGGAUAGGAGCCCCUGCUGCAUGGUGGGGGUUGGAAAGUUUCGGCGGUUGGGGAUGGACUCGCGGCUUAUCAGCUUGGUGGUGGGGUAGUGGCUUACCAAGGCUUUGACGGGUAGCCGGCCUGAGAGGGUGACCGGCCCCAUUGGGACUGAGAUACGGCCCAGACUCCUCCGGGAGGCAGCAGUGGGGAGGGUUGCACAAUGGGCGGAAGCCUGAUGCAGCAACGCCGCGUGCGGGAUGACGGCCUUCGGGUUGUAAACCGCUUUCGCCUGGGACGAGGCGUGAGUGACGGUAAUGGGUAAAGAAGCACCGGCUAACUACGUG